rnacentral:lncRNA from 1 species
AUCCAUUUAUGUAUGGCAUAUAGAUAUACAUAUAUGGUAUACCAUCUGUAUUAUAAUCUAUGUGGUACAAAUUCACACUGUUUAAAUGCUGAUAAUGCAUUUAAUUUAUUUAACUUUUUAUUUCAGAGUAUUUGCUGGUACUCAAGUACAUCUCAGUGGUAGAAUACUUGCUUAGUAAACAAGAGACCCUGAGUUUGAGCCCCAGUAUAGCAGCAGCAGAAGAAGAAAGGAGGCAGAGGAAAGGAAGAAGGAGCACAAAAAUCAUAAGGAAGGGAAGGAGGUUUAGUCUCAACUCAGUCUUCCAAUCGCCUAAACCCUGCUACCAAGUCCCUUAUUUGCAUAUUCCAGGGAAUACCCAGUAUUCUAGUUUAUGAAGACAGCAUCUAAUGACCUCCACAGACCCCAGCUUCCAUCCUUCUACUAGAAAAUUGUGAGUGCCUUUCCAUGUCGUUGAAUGGAGCUUUCUGAAUCUCCUUUGAUUCUGAGGUCUGCCCAAAUCAUGAAGAGUUCC